UACACAAUGCGUCACUCACUGAGGUUUCUCUCGGCCACGAGAGCGCAUCUUGCCGAUUACAUCGAUUACUUGCGGCAGGUAGACAAAGAGCUCCCCUCACUUCACGAUAUCUUUCCAAAGUCUAACGCAGUCGAGGAUGUGGUCAAGUUUCACGCGUCUCUUUGUGCCGCCAUGGAGGAGAACGCAUACCCUCUCAUAGGCUUUAAGGUUCUACCGCCCGAACAUGAGGCUAUUACUACCCUGCGCGGUACGCAGCCUGUUUGUUUUCCCAUCUUCUCGAAUCUUUUCCAAAGAAAAAGUGUAUCUGUCAAGCAAGAUCGACUCCAGUACAUCGAAACUGCGAUAUGCCUUGAGGUCAAACAUUUGGAAGACUGCAGCACGGUCGACGAAGCUUCACUCAACACCGGUGCAUUCUCUCCAAGCCUUGAAGUGUCUGGGUCACGGUUUCCGUUCUACGCACCAACACUGACUGCAAUGGCAUGUGAUCUUGACGGAUGCGUCAGCAUCACAAAAGGUUGUAACAUCUCCAUGGACAGUAUCAAAAGAGAGAGUUUGACGACUACCCGUUUUGUCUUGACGCACAACCAAGAGCCGAUUCAGACGGGCUCAGCAAAACUGUGCAUGGGAACUCCAUUCACUGCUGUCGUCACCGCGGCUGCAUACGCAAAGGCGAUCAAAGCACCUACAAAGAAAAGCCUCUUUGUUUUUUGUGGUGGUGUGUCUCCACGUACACCCAUUCAGGUCGGCACCUACGCUUUCGAAUGGGGCCGCUUUGGUCGGCUUACAUAUUCGGUCCUCCCUUGAGAGUACUUGUAUUGGUCACACAGAAAAGUGAAAACGAGCCCACUGACGGACAGCGCUGUCACUGUCUUCUGCGGCUGCAAGGAAGCUACCGUGCGUUUGUUUGCGUACGUGCUACCAACGGAUUACCGAGCUGUGUGUGUGUGUGUGUGUGUGUGUGUGUGGCGACGUUGCUCCGCUGCCACAUCACGCGGCAUUGUUUGCUUCGAAAGUUUGCCCAUACAGACUAUAGUGUUGCCCACUCGCUAUUCCACAAUGAAGAGGUUGAAUAACCGGAGAAAUGGUUCAAAGCUCAUCCUUGAAAGAGAGGGUAACACACCCACUACUGAUGAAGCCUCCAUUUUUUCGUCUCUUUCUGCACAUGUGCUCAAUUUGGCUACCUCGCUUAG
rnacentral:misc_RNA from 1 species